CUCAAUUCGAUAGCAAAAUUAAAAUCUAGAAGAUGAAAAUACACUCAGCAAACUGAAGAUUACAAUAGAAAAAUGCAUUUAUACACAGAUCUAAUCUAUUGCAAAAUCCCACGCACAACGGCUGCUUGAGCUGAAUCAAUUAGUUGAAAUAACUACUGUUAUUCCCUUUGCUCGCAUAUCCUUCUACUUUAUGAAUAUUGCAGUCGACCCCCUG
rnacentral:lncRNA from 1 species